GCCCGGUUAGCUCAAUCGGUAGAGCGUGAGACUCUUAAUCUCAAGGUUGCGGGUGAGUAGCACACUAUUAAAAAAAAUGUCGUGUGAUAAAUUGACUAACCCUACCUAAUAGGUUCGACCCCCGCAUCGGGCU